AUUGAACGCUGGCGGCAGGCCUAACACAUGCAAGUCGAGCGGAUGAAGGGAGUUUGCUCCUGGAUUCAGCGGCGGACGGGUGAGUAAUGCCUAGGAAUCUGCCUGGUAGUGGGGGAUAACGUCCGGAAACGGGCGCUAAUACCGCAUACGUCCUGAGGGAGAAAGUGGGGGAUCUUCGGACCUCACGCUAUCAGAUGAGCCUAGGUCGGAUUAGCUAGUUGGUGGGGUAAAGGCCUACCAAGGCGACGAUCCGUAACUGGUCUGAGAGGAUGAUCAGUCACACUGGAACUGAGGCACGGUCCAGACUCCUACGGGAGGCAGCAGUGGGGAAUAUUGGACAAUGGGCGAAAGCCUGAUCCAGCCAUGCCGCGUGUGUGAAGAAGGUCUUCGGAUUGUAAAGCACUUUAAGUUGGGAGGAAGGGCAGUAAGUUAAUACCUUGCUGUUUUGACGUUACCAACAGAAUAAGCACCGGCUAACUUCGUG
rnacentral:rRNA from 1 species